UACAGAGACUGCAAGCGUUAUUCGGAUUCACUGGGCGUAAAGGGUGCGCAGGCGGUCGGGUGUGUCAGAUGUGAAAUCCCGAGGCUCAACCUCGGAACUGCGUCUGAAACUACUCGACUAGAGUACUGGAGAGGGUAACGGAAUUCACGGGUGUAGCAGUGAAAUGCGUAGAUAUCGGGAGGAACACCAGUGGCGAAGGCGGCGAUCUGGGAAGAUACUGACGCUGAGGAGCGAAAGCGUGGGGAGCGAACAGG
rnacentral:rRNA from 1 species